CACUGACCGUGUAAAUGUAGCGUAAUCAAUAGCCAAUUAAUUGUUGGCCGGUAUGAAUGGCGUCACGAAGGCCCGACUGUCUUAAGAGGACUCUCCAUGAAAUUGAAUUCGUAGUGAAGAUGCUACGUCCAUAUUGUAAGACGAAAAGACCCCAUUGAGCUUUACUAAAACCUUACACGGCUUAAUAAAAUAACAACGUGGGCUUAACACCACCCUUUUAUUUUAAAAGAGCUAACAUCGCAAGGAUAAUGUAAGUUGGAUAGUUUGGUUGGGGCGACCACCUUUUAAAAGGUAACGAAGGUGAGCUUAAGGUCGGUGGCCUGACUGCAAGAGGGACACCUCGAGCCGACACGUCCAAACGUGGGCUAUCGUGACCCGUCACUUUAGCGUGGAAUAGUUGACGAUCAACGAAUAAAUGCUA
rnacentral:rRNA from 1 species